UUGGAUCCCCGCGAACAGCUCGGAGGAAGCGGGCAGCCCCCUUUGGCACCGCGGGGGAGAAAGGGGGGGGGGCGCAGGGCUGCCCCAGCUCGUGGCCGUGGUCCCUGCGAGGGGCCUGGCCCCCCCCCCGGCCCCCUGUAUAUGUGCACGGGGUGCAAUUUGGGCGCUUCCCGCCAGCGAGUGGCUUGGCCGGGGGCAGACGGGACGGCAGCCCGGGGAGCUUGGGGACAGGCAGGUCAGGAGGCAUCUUCCCCCCCCCCCCCGAGCCCUUAAUUCCUGCCUCUUUGCUCCGCAGGUGUUUUGCCCACCCCCAGGAGGGGCUGGCGAAUCCCUUCUGGCUGCGAAGGGCCACGCAGCUCGCUCAUGGCUCGCUCGUGGCUUGCUCGUGGCUCGCGCGCUGUCCCCAGCUGCUGGCCCAGCGCGUGUGGUCGCAGCGGGGUGACGGCGCGGGGGCACAGGGCCAGCACCCGUCGUGCAGGCUGAGCGCCAAAUCUCCUGCGUUCGGCCGCUUUCUGGRUGCUCCGGCUGAUGCAGGUUUCCCACGGCGCGGGACCGGGUGCUCUCCAGAGGGCAGCAGGGUCCCAGCCAGGGGGUGACACCCAGGUGGCAUCCCGUUGCCUCCGGGGACCCCUCGAGGGGGCUAUGGACAUCCCGAUACAGCAAAAUUGGAGGUGCCAGUCACCUCCCGUCCUCCAGCCGUGUCCUUCCCCGGGGAACCCUUCUGCCUGCGUUCCGGCAGCCGCACUUGGCCAUUCCGGAGCCUCGGCCCUCCCGGAGCCCCCAGGGCAUCGCAGUCCCGGGGGGGCUCAGCCGGGCACUAGCACCGAGCUCCGCGCUGCAGAGCCCUGCAACGCCCAUCGGCUGACUACCRCCGGGCCCGAGACAUCCAAUAAACCUCAAAACAGGGAGUUUGGGGGUUUUUUGCUGUGUUUUUCCCCCCUUUUUCCUCUUGUGCCUUGUCAAGUUUCUAUAUUUUGUACAGCACAUGCUGUACUGGAGCAGGGGAAGAGCCUGUUCCCGCGCUUCCGCGAGAGCCAGGAGACGCAUCCGCAGCCGGCAGGGCAGGAUCCUGCACACGGCAUGUCUGAAUCGGGGGGGGGGGGCACGACGGGGGUCUAUACCCCCAUCCCUGAGCCUCGCGAGCGGCCUGGACCCUGUGCGCGCCCCCGAUAUUCGGAGGGACGGGACGGGACGCUGCCGYGCACCGCGGCCCCAAGGUGCCCGAGGGCGACGCGAUUCACCCGCGGGCAUCAGCACCCGGGGGCAGGGGGGCCCGUUCGGCCCCCCCCCCUCGGUUUGAGGGGCAGCUUCGCGGCGCCGGGGGCAGCGAGCGGAGGGUGCAGAGCCGCUUUCCUCAACAUCCCGUGUUUACCCRCCCGGCCGCAACAUCGCCGCCGCAGCGAGGGGAGGAAGAGGAGGGCAGGGAGCCUCUUCCCCUUCCGCCGCGGGCCGGGCGCGUUUCGUGAAGGAGGCGAUCCCUAUCCCACCCCGCGGGCUCCUCCGUGCUCUGCCCGGGAACGGGCUGCCGUUUGGGGAGGAGGGAGGGGUCCCAAGCCCGGGUUUGCYGCCUGCGGCGGGGUCGUAUGCCAGGCCCGGAUGCUGGCGGGCGUUAGACACCGGCUGCGCUUGUGCCGUGUCUGCGAGCCGACUCCGGCUGUGCGGGAAGCGCUCCGCGUGCCAGGGCUUCGCUCCCGAGCGCCCAGCAGCGGGACGGAUGCCCGGUGCAUCCUGCCCCCCCCCACCGUGCACGCCAGGCA
rnacentral:lncRNA from 1 species